AAAUCUGACAAUGAUUUCCACACCUCACUUGUAAAAAAAAAAUCAUUGGGGCUACUUUUCCUCCUCAGACAUUUAAAUAAAAAUAGAAAAAAAAAUGAAGUUUGAAUAUUUAUGGAGUUGACAUUUGUUUGCCAUUCUUGCAAAGCCUAUAAAAUAAAGUACCAGUUGCAUACUGGGGAGAGCUGGUUCUAUUAACUCUCACUUUCCUCUCUGUAGAAAUGUUUAUUGUUGAGUGAAGACAAGACAUUUUGUGUGGAACGUUUUGUAUUUGAAAGUGUUUUGCUGGGUUUGUUGAAUUUGUGGCUGACUUUUGUUUGCAUAAAACCUGUCUGGUUGGUCAUGGUUAGCUUGACCUAACAACUAAGCUAAUGUGUGUUAGUACAAUGCAGCCAGCCAACUGUGUAAAUUAUAUCAAUGCCUUUUUAUGACUCAGCAAUGCUUUCUUGUUUAAAUCACCAUGUCAACAAACGUGACUGAAAAUGGGUGUUAAAUAUUAUUAUUGUUAUUAUUACAACAUUCCCUGUACGGAAUUGAGUUUGAACAUUGCUUUUUGUUGAUGAAUUUCUAAGAAUUGUGCUGCUGUGCAUGCAUGAGUGGAUGUUUUAGUGAAGAUGUCCAAUUUCCAACAUCUUGCAUUCCUUGAGAACAUUGCUCAGAGCAAAAGCUUGAAGAUAGUUUUAACUUUGUAGCAAAACCUCUAAGCUUUGGUUGAUACUAAGAAGCUUGAUUGUGGUAACCAACAUUUUGUUUGGGACUUCCCCAUCCCCUGCAGUGAGUGGGGGGGACUCAAUACUUAAAUCUGGUCUCGACAGAGAAGACCCCCAAGUAAGAUCAAAUAUGAGCAGAACAUGACAAGCAGCAAAGCCUCCAAAAUCUUGAUUAAAAUGCAAAUUAUGCAUACGAUUAAGCGGGAGAUAUCAUUAGCAGAAAGACUAAUGUUAAUUUAAUCUGAUCUUUGGUCAGUAAGCGUCAGUUCUCCAGAAAUGUUUCGGCUUUCUUGUCAGUCUGCUUACAAGAACAAAAGCUAGGUUGCUUCUAUUCCUUUAAUCCUUGAACAAAAUCCGUUUGUUUGUCAGAUUGUUAGAAACAUAAUGGAGAAGCUAUAUUUCUGUCUUUGGUGCCAGAUCAUAGUGCUAUAGUUUGGUUAUCUCUGAGUGUGCUUAUGGUAAUAAGGUUUUUCCUUUACAAACAAACAUAUAUAUAUAUAUUCAGAUGAAUAUGGUACUUAAGUUAAAGGCACCAGAAUUUUGUAUGGUAUUAUCCAUAUAAAUCAAAUGGGGUGAUUAUAAUCAAAAUAAGUAACAAGGAUAUCCAAUGUACAUGAAGUAGCAUGAAACAAUUGUACUACUCUACCUUGGAUAUCCUUGUUGCUUAUUUUGAUUAUAUAUAUAUAUAUAUAAAGACAUUAGUAUCUAAAUUCUUAAAUUAACUGAAUACCAAAUUUUUCCUUCAAUCUAUUUUUUGAAUUUCUUUUCAGUUGAAUUGUAAAAAUUUCUAUUCCAGUUUUAGUAGAACAAAAUUCAAACAAUAAUUGGUUUAUAUCCAUGACCAUUCUCAGACUGUCUACCAUACACCCUUCUGUCUUCCUCUUCUUCAACAGCAUACAAGAUUACACACACUUUCAUUCAGUUCCAAUUGUAUUGGCACUAAAAGCAAUGUCUUCAUUGCAGAGAAAGCAUUAUUGACUUUGGUAUUUGUGGAUUUUUUUUUUUCUGAAGAUUUGUUUCUUUGGUAAGAUUUCUGAGAAUCUGUUAAAACCGAUAUUGUUGCUUCUGAAUAGUCUCCCCACCCCUUUCUUUCACCAUUUAAAGACACACGUUGCACUGUUAGUGACUUCUUCACUCCAGUAAUAUUUCUUUAAAUAGUUGUUUGGUUGAAUGAAUGAAGAGCCUUCUUCAGACAUCUCAAACUUGGUCGUUUAUAUUCUACAAAGAUAGUCUUUGAUAAAUUUUACAAUUUUAACAUAAACAACUAAAUAUGAAAUAGCUUGUGUUUUAAGCAGCCAGACUAAAUGAAUACAGAUGAAACAAUAAUUUCUUAAUUGAAAAAAUAUGAUUUAAAAUGUGAAGAGUGGUGAGGUAAUAUUUUUUGUAAAAAAAAAAACCUGCUUCUUUUGGUAUAUAAAAAGUUAUAUUUUUCCAUAAAAGUAAAUAAAAUGAUGAAAAACUUACAAA
rnacentral:lncRNA from 1 species